CACACACACACCUGCACAGGCAGCAUAAAAUAAGCAGAGGUUUAAACAUGGUCUUUCAGACUGCCUGGGUUUAGCCUAGUUCUGAUGGGGUGAUAGGAGCUGUUUCUAAGAUGGAUUGACCUCAACAGUAACCAAAAUGGAGGACUGCUACUUGGGCGCAAUAAAACCUUCAAAUUCACUUGCCAGGAUUUUUGACAGCAGAUUUGCACUGAGAUGUAAAAUUCAGGGUUUCUCUUGUGGACAAUACCUCCAUUAGAAGCUGGACAAGAUAAGGAGUGGAGGUUACCAAGUGUUGGUAAGCAGUCCACCAAGGCUGGAGAGUCACACUUACAAAGCUUUAAGUGUAACAAGCAAAAAUGGUUGAACAAGCAAAGAGCAAAGGAAGCUAGAGUGGCAUCAAAAUGCAAAGCAGCUCCAGCAUCAUCUGCCAUUCAGUGGGAAAACGCCAUUCUGUUCUCCUUCCUCUGUCAGCAAGGAGCAGCUUCUGGUCUAAAAUGACAAAAAAGGCAAAAGAAGAUUUGUGUGGCUGUAAGAAAAGAAUGUUAGUAAUGGUGAUUUCAGCUCUAUGGUGAAAAUACUGGAGAUCUGGCAGGAGCUGUCAGCGUUGGUUGGUUUUGAGGGCCAAGUGUGGGGCUAAGUUUCCAGCUGGUUCUGCAGGAGGCAUCUCAGCGGCAGUGUAGGGCCAGGGCAGUGCUGCAAGCCAGGGCAGACCCAGUUUGACUGUACAGAUCACACCCUUCAUCAAAGAUGUGUAACUCGAGUUUCCCCUGUUCUCUGAAAUCUGCUAAAGGGAAUGCAGUCAGCUCCCAGCUGCUUCCAGAGGCUGAGGCCACGCUGCUUGCCCGCUUCAAGCAAGAAAACUGGCUGAUGAUAAACAUGCUUUUUAACCACCCUUAUAUGGAAAUUUACUCAUGCACUCUGUACGUCCCUUUCUUCACCGUGGAUGCCACAGGGCUCCUUACGUGUACAGGAGGGGAAUGACACAAAGUGGGGCACUGGAGAGGGAAGGCAACGGUGAGGUGGGAGGAGGAAGAGAAGGAAGUGAUGCCAGGAGAGCUCCUUGGAUCUCUCCACCUCCUUUCCCUCACUGGCUCCUGCGGGACCUGCCCCCACGACACCCCCCUCUCAGCAGCCCCGUAUUUAAGAGAAGAUUCUCGCAUUUCAGAUUGAGAAAGUUCAUGACACACGGUAAUGGCUCUAAAUGGUAAAUUCAAUCACACCGUCAACAAUUGAAUAGAAGCGGCACAAAUGAGCCAAAUGCCAGCGAUUCAAGGGGAUGCUGGAGGAACUCCCAGCAAUCACAAGGCCACUGCAAAGACAGGCACCCUUCCUCUUCAAAGUUCAGGUGGCUUUAAUGUUGUAGGACAUGCGACAUUCUGUAAUUCAGUCUUUCUUUGCUAUAGAAACUGUGAGCUGUUCAGCAUUUUUGUAAAUACAUAGAAUGGAAGUGGUUGUUUCUGGAUGUUUUCUGAACGGUUUGUAUAAAUUUCAGUCACGGCUUGUCCUUGGGUUGUUGCUCCAACUGUUCUUUUAUUGGUUAUGGCUUUGGCCCAAUGCCCACCGGGUAUGGUGAUUUGGCUUAGGCUGAGUUUGUGUUGGCUACACAACACAAACAUGGUUUUGUUCCUUGCCUUCCAUUGUAAAAUAAAGCUUUUAGCCACGACAAGUAGAUGUGCACCAAGGAAUCAUUUGAGCUGAAGCUGAGGAUCCCAUUUAGAAAUUAAAGAAUAGCUUGAGAAACACACAAGAAUCCCCUAAAUAUUUGCAAAAAGUGAAUGUUAUAUGAGAGUCAUAACUGAGAAAUAUUCCUACAUUUAGAUGCAAAAUUGUCCUUCAUCUUUUUUGCAAUUAGUGCCUGAUCCAGUAUAGCUUCAAUGUUCUGCCAUUUUCCUUAUCUGUUUGAAAACUUCCCAAGAGAGCUACAAUGAGCUGGGGCCAUUUUCAUGACUAUUGAUUUCAUGGUUAAAAUUAUAGCAUUUGAUUGUUAUUUGACCAAACUGAGAUUAUUGUACAUUUUGAAAACAAGAGCGGUAGCAGCAGGAGUCGUGUCCCUAGAAAAGUACAAAGUCAGGAGCUGCCAAAGAGCCCCAGUUCCCCUGUGGUGCUCUGUGGGAGCCCCUCCGUGCUGCCGCUCUCCAGAGAACAAGCAGAAGGCACACAGAGCUUCAGUGACCUUCCCGAUGUCACCCCACGCAUCGUGGCAAAGCAUGGGACAGGUGUCGAGUGUCUGCCCUCCCAGCAGGUGCCCUCACUGCUGGCAACGUUUUCCUGCCUGGAAAAUGCCCGUACCUGCUUGCAACGCUGUCUGUAGGGUGUGGUUUGUGGUGAAGACUCUUUUAGAACUGGAAGGCCUGAAUUUCAUUGUAACUCCUAGUAAGUAAAUAGGUACUGGACAACCAUUUAUGCAGUAUAUUUUUCAUUGUCACAAUACAUUUAGGAAGUGUUGCUAAACCAAGGACUUUCUGCAUGCUCUGGUUCCUGCAUUUCAACAGACUAAACCAAUCACAAUUAGCAAUGGAUUUCAGAUAAAUCCAGAAAUGUUUUAAGCAAGUUCCUAAAUGUAAUAAGAACUCCAAAUACGUUUUUGAAUAGGAUGUUUCAAAGAUUAUUAGGACUAAAUGGUCUUAGUGCAUCAUAUGGACAGAACCAUCUUUUCUUUGUACUUCAUUUCAUUUUUUUUAGUCUGAGACCUCUCUGUAUUUUAUUAGACUAAGAGUAUAACUGA